GACGUAUGAGGCAAGCGUUGUUCGGAAUUAUUGGGCAUAAAGGGCGUGUAGGCGGGGGAUUAAGUUAGGUGUGAAAUCCACGAGCUUAACUCGUGAACUGCAUCUAAUACUGAUUCUCUUGAGUUCUGGAGAGGAGAGCGGAAUUCCCGGUGUAGCGGUGAAAUGCGUAGAUAUCGGGAAGAACACCAGUGGCGAAGGCGGCUCUCUGGCCAAGAACUGACGCUAAGGCGCGAAAGUGUGGGGAG
rnacentral:rRNA from 1 species